rnacentral:rRNA from 1 species
GACGGGGGGGGCAAGUGUUACGUUCGGAAUGACUGGGCGUAAAGGGGCAACGGUAGGCGGUGGAAUCGGGUUGAAAGUGAAAGGUCGCCAAAAAAGUGGGCGGAAUGCUCUCGAAAACCCAAUUCACUUUGAGUGCGACAGAGGAGAGUGGGAAUUUCGUGUGUAGGGGUGAAAUCGUAGAUCUACGAAGGAAACGCCAAAAGCGAAGGCGAAGCUCUCUGGGUCCCUACCGGGCGGCUGGGGUGCGAAAGCCAUAGGGGAG